rnacentral:rRNA from 1 species
UACAGAGGUCUCAACCGUUGUUCGGAUUCAUUGGGCGUAAAGGGUGCGUAGGCGGUCGCGCAAGUCGGAUGUGAAAUCUUAGGGCUCAACCCUGAAACUGCAUUCGAUACUGCGUGGCUCGAGUACUGGAGAGGAGACUGGAAUUUACGGUGUAGCAGUGAAAUGCGUAGAUAUCGUAAGGAAGACCAGUGGCGAAGGCGGGUCUCUGGACAGUUCCUGACGCUGAGGCACGAAGGCCAGGGGAGCAAACGGG